rnacentral:rRNA from 1 species
AAUUUUGGACAAUGGGGGAAACCCUGAUCCAGCGAUCACGCGUGUGCGAUGAAGGCCUNCGGGUUNUNAAGCACUUUUGUCAGGGNAGAAAAGGUUCUGGCUAAUACCCGGUACUGAGUACGGUACCUGAAGAAUAAGCACCGGCUAACUACGUGCCAGCAGCCGAGGUAAUACGUAGGGUGCAAGCGUCAAUCGGAAUUACUGGUCGUAAAGCGUGCGCAGGCAGUUCGGAAAGAAGGAUGUUAAAUCCCAUGGCUCAACCUUGGAACUGCAUUCUUAACUACCGAACUAGAGUAUGGCAGAGGGGGGUAGAAUUCCGCGCGUAGCAGUGAAAUGCGUAGAUAUGCGGAGGAAUACCGAUGGCGAAGGCAGCCCCCUGGGAUAAUACUGACGCUCAUGCACGAAAGCGUGGGUAGCAAACAGG